rnacentral:rRNA from 1 species
CCUACGGGGUGCUGCAGUGGGGAAUAUUGGACAAUGGGGGCAACCCUGAUCCAGCCAUGCCGCGUGUGUGAAGAAGGCCCUCGGGUUGUAAAGCACUUUCAGUGAGGAAGAACGCCUGGUGGUUAAUACCCAUCAGGAAAGACAUCACUCACAGAAGAAGCACCGGCUAACUCCGUGCCAGCAGCCGCGGUAAUACGGAGGGUGCGAGCGUUAAUCGGAAUUACUGGGCGUAAAGCGCGCGUAGGUGGCUUGAUAAGCCGGUUGUGAAAGCCCCGGGCUCAACCUGGGAACGGCAUCCGGAACUGUCAAGCUAGAGUGCAGGAGAGGAAGGUAGAAUUCCCGGUGUAGCGGUGAAAUGCGUAGAGAUCGGGAGGAAUACCAGUGGCGAAGGCGGCCUUCUGGACUGACACUGACACUGAGGUGCGAAAGCGUGGGUAGCAAACAGGAUUAGAUACCCGGGUAGUC